GACGAACGCUGGCGGCGUGCCUAAUACAUGCAAGUCGAACGCUUUUUCGUUCACCGGAGCUUGCUUCACCGAAAGAAAAAGAGUUGCGAACGGGUGAGUAACACGUGGGUAACCUGCCCAUCAGUCGGGGAUAACACUUGGAAACAGGUGCCAAUACCGUAUAACACUAUUUUCCGCAUGGAAGGCAGUUGAACGGGGCUGUUGCGUCACUGAUGGAUGGCCCCGCGGUGCAUUAGCUAGUUGGUGAGGUAACGGCUCACCAAGGCAACGAUGCGUAGCCGACCUGAGAGGGAGAUCGGCCCCACUGGGACGGAGGCACGGCCCAGAAUCCUACGGGGGGCAGCAGUAGGGAAUCUUCGGCAAUGGACGAAAGUCUGACCGAGCAACGCCGGGUGAGUUAAGAAGGUUUUCGGGUCGUAAAACUCUGUUGUUAGAGAAGAACAAGGAUCAGAGUAGAACGUUCAUCUCUUGACGGUACCUACAGAAAAAGCCACGGCUAACUACGUGCCAGCCGCCGCCGUAA
rnacentral:rRNA from 1 species